AUUUGAAGGUUAAUGGCGAUGAAAUCUGCUGGAUAGGUGUUGUUGGCGUGAAUGCCUCCGACUUUAGCGGCAGCGAGGAUAACGAAUCGAGGUUUUUCAUUAGCAAAGAACGAUUCGACAUCGGAUUGGCGAGUUAGGUCAAGCUCUGAGUGGGAACGAAGAAGGAGAUUCGUGAAUCCAAGCUGCUGGAGCUUGCGAACAAUGGCGGAACCGACGAGGCCACGGUGACCGGCGACGAAGAUCUUCGCCGAUUUAUCGAAGAGGAACGAGGAUCCCGAUGAAGCGUUGUCGGCGGCGCCGCCCAUCGUCGGAG
rnacentral:misc_RNA from 1 species